UUUCCGUAGGUGAACCUGCGGAAGGAUCAUUCAUGAUAAAGUGUUUUAUGGCACUUUUUAAAAAUCCAUAUCCACCUUGUGUGCAAUGUUAGAUCUCGUCAAUCUUGGCGAGAUUUUUAUACAUCAGCUCAUUCUUUAACUAAUUUGUCUGAAAAAUAUUAUGAAUACUUAAUUCAAAAUACAACUUUCAACAACGGAUCUCUUGGCUCUC
rnacentral:misc_RNA from 1 species